rnacentral:rRNA from 1 species
AGAGUUUGAUCAUGGCUCAGGAUGAACGCUAGCGACAGACCUAACACAUGCAAGUCGAGGGGCAGCGGAGAGGUAGCAAUACCUUUGCCGGCGACCGGCGCACUGGUGAGUAACACGUAUGCAAUCCACCUGUAACAGGGGGAUAACCCGGAGAAAUCCGGACUAAUACCCCAUAAUAUGGGCGCUCCGCAUGGAGAGCCCAUUAAAGAGAGCAAUUUUGGUUACAGACGAGCAUGCG